CGCAUCCCUUGAAUCACGUUCCUACUCCGGAACGAACUUAGCUUGAACCCUUUAAUCACCAAAGAUUUAAAACGCUCAUUAGUCAAGUUUGUCAGUUUGUCCAUCAAAACCAAAAGGGUCAACACAUAGUAUCAAACUAACCUUGAUUGGGAGAGCGUCUAUUAGCUUCCUGGUUGUUCAGACAUUGCACCCAGCCCAUAUAUAUGUUAUGUUUUUUAUCUAUUUAUUUAUUUUAUUUUCUUUAUUCUCUAAUUGACUAUGUUCAUAUUCUUUAAUCUUGUAAGAAAAUUAGGAUGCCAUUGAUUAUUCUAAAGUUUCUUUUCGGAAAGUUGAUCUUUUAAUCUGUGAAAAAAACAAAGAUAUGGGAUGAUGGCGAAGCCUGAAGAAACCAUAAAUGCAGUGAAUGCAUUUAUGGAAUUGCAGUUCAAGCUUGUUAGGAAAAUCGACUCUUUGGUCCCUUUAUGUUGAGCUUUUUACGGAUUAUAGACAAUUCCGUAGAAGCUAAUAUUGGUUUCAAAGACGGCAAGAGUAGGGCCAUUCACUAAUAUAGAGAUCGACGAAGUUCGAGACAAGUUAGCUCAAUUUUUGACCGAUACUUGUUGAAAUUCAUGUGUCGAUUCUAGUUUAGUUUAGAAUUUAGUUUAGAAAUAUACUUGACGAAGUUCGAGACAAGUUAGCUCAAUUUUUGACCGAUACUUGUUGAAAUACAUGUGUCGAUUCUAGUUUAGUUUAGAAUUUAGAUUAGAAAUAUACUUGAUGAAUGUUUUGUUUAUUGUACUUUGUAAUACACAUUUUGUAGCUACAUUAUUAUUAUUAUAUAAUAUAUAACUAAGUUACGGUGAGAACUAGCCGAAUAAUAGGAAUUAAGGACUAAUCUCAACCAUUGGAUUGAAACAAAAUAGGCGGCUAUGAUUAAUUCAGACAAACUAAAUUCAUUUCACAAAAAUCAAACGCUUAUUUCUCUCUCCUCU